GAGGUGGUCAGGGGGAGGGGAUGGCAGGGAUUGCCAGAUGAUUAAUGAUCCUGGAGUCGAGGAUGGAGGAGGCCGUGUCCAUUUUGUGUCAUUCACAGAGGUGUGCAAAUGAGAACCGAGAACGACAGUGGCAAUUCCAAGCGCUCUGAGGCGCCAUCCUGCGUGGAGAACGCUAUUGUGGCCCAACGUGCUUCGGUUGAACUUGACUCCAUACUUCCUGAUAUCAUCACCGAGCGGCAGAUGCAGACACGGAGAUACAGACAGUGAGAAAGUGAGACAUAUACAGGGCACAGCGUGAACAAUCCCAAUUACGUGGGACUCACAGAUGCAAACAGAUAGAACAGUUAUCUGCAAGAAACCAGGCAUUAUGCACCUCAUCACGUCUUCCAGACAAAAACAGACAACAAUAAGUUCUGAUUGUUCUGAUCAGAAGGACAUCUCAAAGUGCUUUACAGAACAUGCAGCAAAGUGAACCGACUGUACACAGUCUCACCGAAACGGGCCGCCAUUUGAGCGCAUCAGUGUCCCACCAGCUGUCCUGGGUUGACGGUCAAAAUCAUUAUUAUUUUAUUUACUGAUUUUGAAGUGAUUAUUUUCUCCCAGAAAACCAAUACGCCAAGCGAAGAUGUAGGUUCCCACUUAAUGCUUGCUAAACAGAG